AUUGAACGCUGGCGGCAUGCUUUACACAUGCAAGUCGAACGGUAACAGGCCGCAAGGUGCUGACGAGUGGCGAACGGGUGAGUAAUGCAUCGGAACGUGCCCAGUCGUGGGGGAUAACUACUCGAAAGAGUAGCUAAUACCGCAUACGAUCUAUGGAUGAAAGCGGGGGACCGUAAGGCCUCGCGCGAUUGGAGCGGCCGAUGUCAGAUUAGGUAGUUGGUGGGGUAAAGGCUCACCAAGCCAACGAUCUGUAGCUGGUCUGAGAGGACGACCAGCCACGCUGGGACUGAGACACGGCCCAGACUCCUACGGGAGGCAGCAGUGGGGAAUUUUGGACAAUGGGCGCAAGCCUGAUCCAGCAAUGCCGCGUGCAGGAAGAAGGCCUUCGGGUUGUAAACUGCUUUUGUACGGAACGAAACGGCUCUGGUUAAUACCCGGGGCUAAUGACGGUACCGUAAGAAUGAGCACCGGCUAACUACGUG
rnacentral:rRNA from 1 species